rnacentral:rRNA from 1 species
UGCACCUGGUGGCGAGUGGCGAACGGGUGAGUAAUAUAUCGGAACGUACCCAGUAGUGGGGGAUAACUAUCCGAAAGGAUAGCUAAUACCGCAUACGAUCUACGGAUGAAAGCAGGGGAUCUUCGGACCUUGUGCUAUUGGAGCGGCCGAUAUCUGAUUAGCUAGUUGGUGAGGUAAAAGCUCACCAAGGCGACGAUCAGUAGCUGGUCUGAGAGGACGACCAGCCACACUGGAACUGAGACACGGUCCAGACUCCUACGGGAGGCAGCAGUGGGGAAUUUUGGACAAUGGGCGCAAGCCUGAUCCAGCAAUGCCGCGUGAGUGAAGAAGGCCUUCGGGUUGUAAAGCUCUUUUGUCAGGGAAGAAAAGGUGCGCUUCUAAACAUAGCGUACUGAUGACGGUACCUGAAGAAUAAGCACCGGCUAAACUACGUGCCAGCAGCCGCGGUAAUACGUAGGGUGCAAGCGUUAAUCGGAAUUACUGGGCGUAAAGCGUGCGCAGGCGGUUUUAUAAGUCUGAUGUGAAAUCCCCGGGCUCAACCUGGGAACUGCAUUGGAGACUGUAAGGCUAGAGUGUGUCAGAGGGGGGUAGAAUUCCACGUGUAGCAGUGAAAUGCGUAGAUAUGUGGAGGAAUACCGAUGGCGAAGGCAGCCCCCUGGGAUAACACUGACGCUCAUGCACGAAAGCGUGGGGAGCAAACAGGAUUAGAUACCCUGGUAGUCCACGCCCUAAACGAUGUCUACUAGUUGUCGGGACUUAAUUGUCUUGGUAACGCAGCUAACGCGUGAAGUAGACCGCCUGGGGAGUACGGUCGCAAGAUUAAAACUCAAAGGAAUUGACGGGGACCCGCACAAGCGGUGGAUGAUGUGGAUUAAUUCGAUGCAACGCGAAAAACCUUACCUACCCUUGACAUGGCAGGAAUUCCGAAGAGAUUUGGAAGUGCUCGCAAGAGAACCCUGCACACAGGUGCUGCAUGGCUGUCGUCAGCUCGUGUCGUGAGAUGUUGGGUUAAGUCCCGCAACGAGCGCAACCCUUGUCAUUAGUUGCUACGAAAGGGCACUCUAAUGAGACUGCCGGUGACAAACCGGAGGAAGGUGGGGAUGACGUCAAGUCCUCAUGGCCCUUAUGGGUAGGGCUUCACACGUCAUACAAUGGUACAUACAGAGGGCCGCCAACCCGCGAGGGGGAGCUAAUCCCAGAAAGUGUAUCGUAGUCCGGAUUGUAGUCUGCAACUCGACUACAUGAAGUUGGAAUCGCUAGUAAUCGCGGAUCAGCAUGUCGCGGUGAAUACGUUCCCGGGUCUUGUACACACCGCCCGUCACACCAUGGGAGCGGGUUCUGCCAGAAGUAGGUAGCUUAACCGUAAGGAGGGC